rnacentral:rRNA from 1 species
CAGUCGCCGCGGUAAUACGAAGGGUGCAAGCGUUAAUCGGAAUUACUGGGCGUAAAGCGCGCGUAGGUGGUUUGGUAAGAUGGAUGUGAAAUCCCCGGGCUCAACCUGGGAACUGCAUCCAUAACUGCCUGACUAGAGUACGGUAGAGGGUGGUGGAAUUUCCUGUGUAGCGGUGAAAUGCGUAGAUAUAGGAAGGAACACCAGUGGCGAAGGCGACCACCUGGACUGAUACUGACACUGAGGUGCGAAAGCGUGGGGAGCAAACAGGAUUAGAUACCCGCGUAGUCCCUGUCUCUUAUAC